rnacentral:rRNA from 1 species
UACGGGGGGAGCAAGCGUUGUUCGGAUUUACUGGGCGUAAAGGGCGCGUAGGCGGCGCAACAAGUCACUUGUGAAAUCUCCGGGCUUAACUCGGAACGGUCAAGUGAUACUGUUGUGCUAGAGUGCGGAAGGGGCAACUGGAAUUCUCGGUGUAGCGGUGAAAUGCGUAGAUAUUGGGAAGAACACCUGAGGCGAAGGCGGGUUGCUGGGCUGAUACUGACGCUGAGGCGCGAAAGCCAGGGGAGCAAACGGG